rnacentral:rRNA from 1 species
CAGAUGCUAAUACCGGAUAACAANAGAUGAUGCCUAUCAACUGUUUAAAAGAUGGUUCUGCUAUCACUCUUGGAUGGACCUGCGGUGCAUUAGCUAGUUGGUAGGGUAACGGCCUACCAAGGCGAUGAUGCAUAGCCGAGUUGAGAGACUGAUCGGCCACAUUGGGACUGAGACACGGCCCAAACUCCUACGGGAGGCAGCAGAC